UGUACAUGGUUUUCAGAACUGUACCUUCAGAUAUAGACGCAGACACGCCGCUCGCCCCGCUCGCAGACGCAGGAGGACUCACAGGUCCUCCCAUGUCCACCGACGUAGGAGAGUUGUCCGACGCAGACGCUAGGCAACGCCAAUAAACAUGUAGCACAGGGCCCGAACAACUGUA